GAUGAAGAACGUAGCGAAAUGCGAUAAGUAGUGUGAAUUGCAGAAUUCAGUGAAUCAUCGAAUCUUUGAACGCACAUUGCGCCCCUCGGCAUUCCGUGGGGCAUACCUGUUCGAGCGUCAUUUCAACCCUCGGGCGGUCUUUUGGGUCCGUCUGGUUUUGGGUGUCGUCAAAAGACGUGCCUUAAAAGAAUUGGCGGCGUAGGUGCCGGCUUCGAGCGUAGCAGAUGCGAUUCGCUUUGGAAGCUGGCGCUCACCUUGCCGGAUAUAUCUCUGAAUGGCUGACCUCGGAUCAGGUAGGGAUACCCGCUGAACUUAAGCAUAUCAAUAAGCGGAGGGA
rnacentral:misc_RNA from 1 species